UCGGGCCGAAGUUGAAAGUCACGAAACCUGCAACCGACUCCAUCGUCUCAAGCUGCCCGAAGACCUCGUCUCCUGUUGUUGGUCGAACCUUCUGGGUUAAAACACGAAUGUAGGGGUUUGAUUCGGCCUUGGGGAAGCUCCGGCUGAUUUUAUUUGGUGCUACAUAAUCGAGGUUGCUCGGCCCUCACCAAGUGGAGUUUCUUUACUGUGAUCCAAGAGUAGGGGCAAACUGAAGAUUUUACUGUCAACAUUUUAGCUCUUGAAGAGGCCCAGUAACUAGAAGACUAUUGGCUGUUAGCCAUGGUUCUCUAAGAGUGUUUCAACACAGGGAAGGUUUAACAGAUGGCAUUUCAUUCUGAGGAACAAACUGAGGAUUACCUUUUCAAGAUUGUUUUAAUUGGUGAUUCUGCUGUGGGAAAAUCAAACUUGCUUGCAAGAUUUGCCAGAAAUGAGUUCUACUCCAACUCAAAAUCAACCAUUGGAGUUGAGUUCCAAACCCAGAAGUUGGAGAUUGAUGGGAAAGAGGUCAAGGCACAGAUCUGGGACACAGCAGGUCAGGAGCGGUUCAGGGCUGUGACUUCUGCAUACUACAGGGGAGCUGUUGGAGCUCUUUUGGUGUACGACAUCAGUAGACGUCAGACAUUUGAUAGCAUCGGUCGUUGGCUUAAUGAAUUGCACACUCACUCCGACAUGAAUGUGAUCACCAUACUUGUUGGCAACAAGUCUGAUCUCAAGGAUGCCAGGGAGGUAGCCACAGAAGAAGGCAAGGCCUUGGCAGAGGCUCAGGGUUUGUUCUUCAUGGAAACAUCAGCCCUUGAUUCUUCUAAUGUCACUUUUGCCUUCCAGACAGUUGUCAAAGAGAUCUAUAACAUUUUGAGCCGCAAAGUUUUUCUUAGUCAAGAGCACAAGAAACAGGAGCCAGGAUCGAUAUCGAAUGGGAAGACUUUGGUUUUGCAGGGAGAUUCAGUCCAAGAUUCAGAUGGCAGGUCCAGUGGUGGGAAGUGCUGUUCUAACAACUAAAGUGUACAAACAUGUGAGGAUGGCUUCAAGGUAAACGAAUGGAUAGAUUUUUCUUUUGGGUACUAAUGAAGUUGGAUAUAAUUGCUGGAUUUGGCUCCUCUACAGAACAGCGCACCAUGAAGUGCUUAUCUGAUGUGCUGCGGCACAUUGGGGCAUUCACCCCAAGGUGUUUCUGACCGUUGGAUGUGCCAUGCUGUGGAGGAUUUGCAUGCCAUUUCUUCUAUGUUGUGUGGUCAGUCAGCACUCUCUUGUUGCGUUUCACUGGGUUAUCAUUGAUGAAAUCUGUUUAAACAAAACGAGGCAAGGCUUUUGAAGUUGAUUCUAGAGCAAAGAUGUACAGAUUUGAAGGAAUGAAAGGUUUCAAGAGGGAUUUGCUGGAGAGCUAUCCGAUAUGGAAUUGUGUCCUCAAAACAGAUAUCAUCUUGUAUGGCGGUACAAUUGUGUAUCUGCUCGGUAGCUAUCCGAUUUGUCUUGAAUUUAUUGAACAAAUAACUCUUUAGCUUAGAAGUCGAGCUUGAAGCAAUAACAGGUUUGUAACCAACUAUUGCCAAUGGCAAUGGUAGGUCAAGGAAUCCAAGUAUGGUUUCAGAAA